AUUGAACGCUGGCGGCAGGCCUAACACAUGCAAGUCGAGCGGGGUUUUCGGACCUAGCGGCGGACGGGUGAGUAAUGCGUAGGAAGCUACCCGAUAGAGGGGGAUACCAGUUGGAAACGACUGUUAAUACCGCAUAAUGUCUACGGACCAAAGUGUGGGACCUUCGGGCCACAUGCUAUCGGAUGCGCCUAAGUCGGAUUAGCUAGUUGGUGGGGUAAAGGCCUACCAAGGCGACGAUCUGUAGCGGGUCUGAGAGGAUGAUCCGCCACACUGGGACUGAGACACGGCCCAGACUCCUACGGGAGGCAGCAGUGGGGAAUAUUGGACAAUGGGCGGAAGCCUGAUCCAGCCAUGCCGCGUGUGUGAAGAAGGCCUUUUGGUUGUAAAGCACUUUAAGCGAGGAGGAGGCUACCUGGAUUAAUACUCUAGGAUAGUGGACGUUACUCGCAGAAUAAGCACCGGCUAACUCUGUGCCAUCCGCCGCCGUAACAC
rnacentral:rRNA from 1 species